CUCAACUGUCCAGAACUAAUACUCUUAACUUGUCCCUUCAACAUAUAACCAAAUUGUUCAUUGUGAUUUGCCUGAAGAAAUAUAAACUCUCUCUCAUUCUUCCACUGUGAUUUGGACUUCAACAACCAAAUCAUCGCUUUCCAAUCGGGCCCUAUUCAGUCUCUUCAACUGUCUCUGUAAUGGUUUCAUGAACUGGAGUUCCAGGUUCUGUUGUAGAGAACCCUUCAGCAGCAGGGGAUGCUCCUAUGCCGUCAGAAAUUCUGAUUUCUGGUCUUUGCAAAGGAAGGUCAGAAAGCUUUUGCUCUAUAGAAUCAUCAGUGGCUAAGAUUUCUCUAUUCUGAUAAAGGAAGAUGAGGAAGAAUACGAGAAGAGCGGAGCCUGCUGAUACACCAGCUAUGAGGAAAAGGCCCUUAAAACUAUCUAGCGUGAGACUAUCAGAUGUUAUAGCCAUUCCAUCUUGCUGUGGACAAUCUGUUUCAUUCCCAAACCAUUUCUGUAUUAUGUUAUU